rnacentral:rRNA from 1 species
UACGAAGGGGGGCUAGCGUUGCUCGGAAUUACUGGGCGUAAAGCGCACGUAGGCGGCUUUCUAAGUCGGGGGGUGAAAUCCUGGAGCUCAACUCCAGAACUGCCUUUGAUACUGGGGAUCUCGAGUCCGGAAGAGGUGAGUGGAACUCCGAGUGUAGAGGUGAAAUUCGUAGAUAUUCGGAAGAACACCAGUGGCGAAGGCGGCUCACUGGUCCGGUACUGACGCUGAGGUGCGAAAGCGUGGGGAGCAAACAGG